UAGUGUAGAUGGGACUCGUGUAGAUUGGUCGGUGUGAACAAAUUGGGCUGAAGGGCCUGAAUCCACGCUGUAUGACUCUACGACUCCCGUUUCCAGCCCAGUAAUCAUGAACUCUUGGCUAUUCCUAUACAGGUAGCUGUUAUAACCAGUUUCCAGGAACAUUAAUUGGAUAUAUUAUAAUAAAAAGGAAUUGCAGAUGUCGGUU